UACGAAGGGGGCUAGCGUUGCUCGGAAUCACUGGGCGUAAAGCGCACGUAGGCGGAUCUUUAAGUCAGGGGUGAAAUCCCAAGGCUCAACCUUGGAACUGCCUUUGAUACUGGGGAUCUCGAGUCCGGAAGAGGUUGGUGGAACUCCGAGUGUAGAGGUGAAAUUCGUAGAUAUUCGGAAGAACACCAGUGGCGAAGGCGGCCAACUGGUCCGGCACUGACGCUGAGGAGCGAAAGCGUGGGGAGCAAACAGG
rnacentral:rRNA from 1 species